rnacentral:rRNA from 1 species
CCUACGGGUGGCAGCAGUGAGGAAUAUUGGUCAAUGGCCGGAAGGCUGAACCAGCCAUGCCGCGUGAAGGUCAGUGCCCUAUGGGCGUUAAACUUCUUUUGUGCGGGAGCAAUAAUGGUCACGUGUGGCCAGACGAGAGUACCGUACGAAUAAGCAUCGGCUAACUCCGUGCCAGCAGCCGCGGUAAUACGGGGGAUGCAAGCGUUAUCCGGAUUUAUUGGGUUUAAAGGGUGCGUAGGCUGUGCGGUAAGUCAGUGGUGAAAUGCCCCCGCUCAACGGGGUGAAGUGCCAUUGAUACUGCCUGGCUGGAAUGCGGAUGCCGUGGGAGGAAUGUGUGGUGUAGCGGUGAAAUGCAUAGAUAUCACACAGAACACCGAUUGCGAAGGCAUCUCACGAAGCCGCGAUUGACGCUGAUGCACGAAAGCGUGGGUAUCAAACAGGAUUAGAUACCCCUGUAGUC